AUGAUAUCUGCACAGCCCUUUCCUGAACAUGCCCUUUAUGUUAUUCAUACACUUUACUCAAGCAUCUAUUUGCCCUUAUGUUCUGCUAGGGCUCAAUGUUUUCUGGAAGUAAGCUUGACUGAAAAUACACGUAAUUCAAUGCUUGUUCUUCUAACUAAAAAUUCAGUUCAUGAUUCUGGUCCUAUACUUACUGAAAUGAUUACUAUAGAGGUCAAAAAGCUUUCAAAUUCAAGAAUAAGGAGAGUAUUUUCUGUUUUCUUUCCGCCAAUUUCUUUUCAUAUAAAUAUGACAUUUAUUGUUUAUAGUUAA
rnacentral:rRNA from 1 species